UUUCCGUAGGUGAACCUGCGGAAGGAUCAUUAUAGUAUAACAGACCUGCGAGGGCUGUCGCUGCCCCGCUACCUCUUGCACGCCCGAGUAGCCUCUCACACAUCCAACCGACGCCUGUGUGCACACCCGCGUGGUUCCCGCUUCGGUUUUUUCGUAGUGCGUCUUACGAUUCCAUACAAACCUUAUCUCCUGUGUAGAACGUAUUUUUUGAACUUGUGAUCUCGCAAUCAAACCAACUUUCACCAACGUGUCUCUUGGCUCUCUCAUCUAUCAAGAACC
rnacentral:misc_RNA from 1 species